UGAAAUUGCCUGGAACAAUAAAUGAAAACCUGCACUCAACGUAAAUAAGGCAAAUAAAUAAUGCUCUGAAUAGUAGUAUUAUUAAGAUUCCAGUAAGGAAUGAAGAGAAGUUUUGGAAGAAAUUCCCUUCAUAUGUCAGAGCAAUUACAAGUAAAUCCAAAACAGAGAAUUUGCACAGAAAGGAUGCAGCAUAGGACAACAUAAUUCACACCCUUUUUUCCAUUCACUAACGAAUUAUAUGGAUUAGGUCCUAGACCAAUAAAAGUCAUCCAGCCUGGAGUUAGUUAGUCUGUUUCUUGUGCCCCUCCUUAUUCCCUGCUGAGUUGUAUUUUCAUUAGACUCUUCUACCCCCACUGCAUGUGUUACAACAACACAUCCCAUUUCUUCAUACUUCUUUCUUUUUCUCAUACUUUUCUCAGUAUAUUCUUUAUUCCCUUGCUUCUAUUUUUUUCUCCAAUUUUAUUAUUUAGUCUUUAUUUCUCUCUUCCUUCCUCAAAAUUUCCUUUUUCUACUCUUUCACCAACAUCAUCACACUACUCACUAGACCUAGCAUUCUACACUUAAUUUCUUUCCUAAUGCUUAAUAGGAAAACUUGUGGUCAACAUUAACUGGGAAUUUUUGCUCAUGUCACACAGGGAAAAUUUUCAGCCAAUAAAUAAGACGUACAAUCAAGAAACAACUUCAUCAAUAUUAGUUGAAAAAAUCUUGACAAACUAUGACAAAAAAAUAACAUCAACCGUAUCAACUAAAAACUAUGAUCAAUAU
rnacentral:lncRNA from 1 species